GUUUUGCUUCAGCAGUUCAUAUACUAAAAUUGGAAUGAUAGAAGAUUAGCAUGGCCCCUGCUCAAGGAUGACAUGAAAAUUUAUGAAGUGUUCCAUAUUUUU
rnacentral:snRNA from 1 species